AUUGAACGCUGGCGGCAGGCCUAACACAUGCAAGUCGAACGGUAACAGGAAGAAGCUUGCUUCUUUGCUGACGAGUGGCGGACGGGUGAGUAAUGUCUGGGAAACUGCCUGAUGGAGGGGGAUAACUACUGGAAACGGUAGCUAAUACCGCAUAACGUCGCAAGACCAAGAAGGGGGACCUUCGGGCCUCUUGCCAUCGGAUGUGCCCAGAUGGGAUUAGCUAGUAGGUGGGGUAACGGCUCACCUAGGCGACGAUCCCUAGCUGGUCUGAGAGGAUGACCAGCCACACUGGAACUGAGACACGGUCCAGACUCCUACGGGAGGCAGCAGUGGGGAAUAUUGCACAAUGGGCGCAAGCCUGAUGCAGCCAUGCCGCGUGUAUGAAGAAGGCCUUCGGGUUGUAAAGUACUUUCAGCGGGGAGGAAGGGAGUAAAGUUAAUACCUUUGCUCAUUGACGUUACCCGCAGAAGAAGCACCGGCUAACUCCGUG
rnacentral:rRNA from 1 species